UGACGCAGACCCGAAACCAAGUGACCUACCCAUGACCAGGUUGAAGGCGCGGUAAAACGCGCUGGAGGACCGAACCCACGUAAGUUGAAAAUUGCGGGGAUGAGUUGUGGGUAGCGGUGAAAUUCCAAACGAACUUGGAGAUAGCUGGUUCUCUCCGAAAUAGCUUUAGGGCUAGCCUCGCAAAGAGGAUGCUGGAGGUAGAGCUCUGUUUGGACUAGGGGCCCGUCAAGGGUUACUGAAUUCAGAUAAACUGCGAAUUCCAGACAUUUAUGUGCGGGAGUCAGACUGCGAGUGAUAAGAUCCGUAGUCGAAAGGGAAACAGCCCAGAUCACCAGUUAAGGUCCCAAAAUUCAUGCUAAGUGGAAAAGGAUGUGGAGUUGCGCAGACAACUAGGACGUUGGCUCAGAAGCAGCCAUCAUUCAAAGAGUGCGUAAUAGCUCACUAGUCGAGUGACGCCGCGCCGAAAAUUUACCGGGGCUAAGCAUGAUACCGAAACUGUGGAUGUGCGUUUAUGCACGUGGUAGGAGAGCGUUCUAGCGGCGGUGAAGCAUGACCGAGAG
rnacentral:rRNA from 1 species